CACGUAGGGUGCGAGCGUUAAUCGGAAUUACUGGGCGUAAAGCGUGCGCAGGCGGUUUUGCAAGCCGGAUGUGAAAUCCCCGGGCUUAACCUGGGAAUGGCAUUUGGGACUGCAAGGCUGGAGUGCGGCAGAGGAGACUGGAAUUCCUGGUGUAGCAGUGAAAUGCGUAGAUAUCAGGAGGAACACCGAUGGCGAAGGCAGGUCUCUGGGCUGACACUGACGCUCAUGCACGAAAGCGUGGGGAGCAAACAGG
rnacentral:rRNA from 1 species